UCUUUCUUUGCUGGCGACCGGCGCACGGGUGAGUAACACGUAUCCAACCUGCCCUUUACUCGGGGAUAGCCUUUCGAAAGAAAGAUUAAUACCCGAUAGCAUAAUGAUUCCGCAUGGUUUCAUUAUUAAAGGAUUCCGGUAAAGGAUGGGGAUGCGUUCCAUUAGGUUGUUGGUGGGGUAACGGCCCACCGAGCCUUCGAUGGAUAGGGGUUCUGAGAGGAAGGUCCCCCACAUUGGAACUGAGACACGGUCCAA
rnacentral:rRNA from 1 species